rnacentral:rRNA from 1 species
AACGAACGCUGGCGGCAGGCCUAACACAUGCAAGUCGAACGAGAAGCCACCUUCGGGUGGUGGACAGUGGCAGACGGGAGAGUAACGCGUGGGAACGUGCCUUUCGGUUCGGGAUAACCCAGGGAAACUUGGGCUAAUACCGGAUACGCCCUUCGGGGGAAAGAUUCAUUGCCGAAAGAUCGGCCCGCGUCGGAUUAGCUAGUUGGUAGGGUAAUGGCCUACCAAGGCGACGAUCCGUAGCUGGUCUGAGAGGAUGACCAGCCACACUGGGACUGAGACACGGCCCAGACUCCUACGGGAGGCAGCAGUGGGGAAUAUUGGACAAUGGGCGCAAGCCUGAUCCAGCCAUGCCGCGUGGGUGAAGAAGGCCUUAGGGUUGUAAACCCCUUUCAGCGGGGAAGAUAAUGACGGUACCCGCAGAAGAAGUCCCGGCUAACUCCGUGCCAGCCGCCGCCGUAAGAC